CUCCUGGGUUCUUUUCUCAGCUCUGCCUCUGACGUGCCACAUGACCUUGGCCCGGAGAAGGAGGCCUUUAAGAAGAGGCCAAAGCUGCAGCAGGAGAACGGGGAGGAGACGGACGAGAAUGAGGAGGAGGAGGAGGAGCGGGAGGAGAGUGGCUGUGAGGAUGAGGACGAGGAUUCGGGCAGCGAGGAGAGCCUGGUGGACUCGGACUCCGAUGCGGAGGAGAAGGUGGUGAAUUUCCAGGCUGAUCUGGCCGACCUGACCUGCGAGAUCGAGAUCGAGCAGAAGCUGAUUGAGGAGCUGGAGAACAGCCAGCGGCGCCUGCAGACCCUCAAGCACCAGUCCGAGGAGAAGCUAAUCCUGCUGCAGAACAAGAUCCGCGACACCCAGCUGGAGAGGGACCGGGUGCUGCAGAACCUCAGUACGGGCAGUGCCCCCUCCACCCCCCGGCUCAUCCCACCGCACGGGUCCUCUGAGCCAGCGCUGGCAGGAGAAACCCUGGGGUUCUCCCGGCGCCCAGUGAGGCCCAAACUGGGCCCUGUCCCCUGUGUAAGAGGACUGUUGCCCCCUUACUAACAUUCAGUGGGGGGGUUUUGGUUGGCUGCUCCCAGCACUAAAAGGGGAGGGGUCGAUGGCAAAUCAGGAGCCUGAGACUGACAGUCCCCAGGGACAAUGGGGAGAGGCCAAUGCUCCAGAUCAGCCUGAUUGACAGGGCGGGCAGCUAAUCAGGGAGUCAGGAGGCCAGGGGGGUCCCGUCCUCCGGGUGAGCUGGAAUUGCCUGGGUCAGACAGGGUGGGGCCGAGCUAAGGAGAGAGCAGGGGCCCGAGCUGAGCU